CUCCUACGGGAGGCAGCAGUGGGGAAUUUUGGACAAUGGGGGCAACCCUGAUCCAGCAAUGCCGCGUGUGUGAAGAAGGCCUUCGGGUUGUAAAGCACUUUUGUCCGGGAAGAAAUCGCACCUGAUAAUACCGGGUGUGGAUGACGGUACCGGAAGAAUAAGGACCGGCUAACUACGUGCCAGCAGCCGCGGUAAUACGUAGGGUCCAAGCGUUAAUCGGAAUUACUGGACGUAAAGCGUGCGCAGGCGGUUGUGCAAGACGGAUGUGAAAUCCCCGAGCUUAACCUGGGAAUUGCAUUGGUGACUGCACGGCUAGAGUGUGUCAGAGGGGGGUAGAAUUCCACGUGUAGCAGUGAAAUGCGUAGAGAUGUGGAGGAAUACCGAUGGCGAAGGCAGCCCCCUGGGAUAACACUGACGCUCAUGCACGAAAGCGUGGGGAGCAAACAGGAUUAGAUACCCUGGUAGUCCACGCCCUAAACGAUGUCAACUAGUUGUUGGGGAUUCAUUUCCUUAGUAACGUAGCUAACGCGUGAAGUUGACCGCCUGGGGAGUACGGUCGCAAGAUUAAA
rnacentral:rRNA from 1 species